AUACGUAGGGUGCAAGCGUUAAUCGGAAUUACUGGGCGUAAAGCGUGCGCAGGCGGUUUUGUAAGACAGUGGUGAAAUCCCCGGGCUCAACCUGGGAACUGCCAUUGUGACCGCAAGGCUGGAGUGCGGCAGAGGGGGAUGGAAUUCCGCGUGUAGCAGUGAAAUGCGUAGAUAUGCGGAGGAACACCGAUGGCGAAGGCAAUCCCCUGGGCCUGCACUGACGCUCAUGCACGAAAGCGUGGGGAGCAAACAGGAUUAGAUACCCUGGUAGUCCACGCCCUAAACGAUGUCAACUGGUUGUUGGGGAUUUAUUUUCUCAGUAACGAAGCUAACGCGUGAAGUUGACCGCCUGGGGAGUACGGCCGCAAGGUUAAAACUCAAAGGAAUUGACGGGG
rnacentral:rRNA from 1 species